rfam:Ictidomys tridecemlineatus contig003576, whole genome shotgun sequence.
UGGGUUGUGGCUCAGUGGUAGAGUACUUUCCUAACACAGGUGAGGUCCUGGGUUCGAUCCUCAGCAGCACAU